rnacentral:rRNA from 1 species
AUUGAACGCUGGCGGCAUGCCUUACACAUGCAAGUCGAACGGCAGCACGGGGGCAACCCUGGUGGCGAGUGGCGAACGGGUGAGUAAUGCAUCGGAACGUGCCCAGUAGUGGGGGAUAACCAGUCGAAAGAUUAGCUAAUACCGCAUACGACCUAUGGGUGAAAGCGGGGGAUUCGCAAGAACCUCGCGCUAUCGGAGCGGCCGAUGUCUGAUUAGCUAGUUGGCGGGGAAAAGCCCACCAAGGCGACGAUCAGUAGCUGGUCUGAGAGGACGACCAGCCACACUGGGACUGAGACACGGCCCAGACUCCUACGGGAGGCAGCAGUGGGGUAAUUUUGGACAAUGGGCGCAAGCCUGAUCCAGCCAUGCCGCGUG